rnacentral:rRNA from 1 species
GAAGGGAGCUUGCUCCCGGAUGUUAGCGGCGGACGGGUGAGUAACACGUGGGUAACCUGCCUGUAAGACUGGGAUAACUCCGGGAAACCGGAGCUAAUACCGGAUAGUUCCUUGAACCGCAUGGUUCAAGGAUGAAAGACGGUUUCGGCUGUCACUUACAGAUGGACCCGCGGCGCAUUAGCUAGUUGGUGAGGUAACGGCUCACCAAGGCGACGAUGCGUAGCCGACCUGAGAGGGUGAUCGGCCACACUGGGACUGAGACACGGCCCAGACUCCUACGGGAGGCAGCAGUAGGGAAUCUUCCGCAAUGGACGAAAGUCUGACGGAGCAACGCCGCGUGAGUGAUGAAGGUUUUCGGAUCGUAAAGCUCUGUUGUUAGGGAAGAACAAGUGCAAGAGUAACUGCUUGCACCUUGACGGUACCUAACCAGAAAGCCACGGCUAACUACGUGCCAGCAGCCGCGGUAAUACGUAGGUGGCAAGCGUUGUCCGGAAUUAUUGGGCGUAAAGGGCUCGCAGGCGGUUUCUUAAGUCUGAUGUGAAAGCCCCCGGCUCAACCGGGGAGGGUCAUUGGAAACUGGGAAACUUGAGUGCAAAAGAGGAGAGUGGAAUUCCACGUGUAGCGGUGAAAUGCGUAUAGAUGUGGAGGAACACCAGUGGCGAAGGCGACUCUCUGGUCUGUAACUGACGCUGAGGAGCGAAAGCGUGGGGGAGCGAACAGGAUUAGAUACCCUGGUAGUCCACGCCGUAAACGAUGAGUGCUAAGUGUUAGGGGGUUUCCGCCCCUUAGUGCUGCAGCUAACGCAUUAAGCACUCCGCCUGGGGAGUACGGUCGCAAGACUGACACUCAAGGAAUUGACGGGGGCCCGCACAAGCGGUGGAGCA